AUACGGAGGGUGCAAGCGUUACUCGGAAUCACUGGGCGUAAAGCGCGCGCAGGCGGUCUUUUAAGUUGGAUGUGAAAGCCUACGGCUCAACCGUAGAACUGCAUCCAAAACUAUUAGACUAGAGUGUGGGAGAGGAAGAUGGAAUUAGUUGUGUAGGGGUAAAAUCCGUAGAGAUAACUAGGAAUACCAAAAGCGAAGGCAAUCUUCUGGAACACUACUGACGCUGAGGCGCGAAAGCGUGGGGAGCAAACAGGAUUAGAUACCCGGGUAGUCC
rnacentral:rRNA from 1 species